rnacentral:lncRNA from 1 species
GCAUUAUCAACAAUAACCUAAAAUCUAGGUUUAUAAGGGGUUAUAAUUCUUUAAUAUGCAGUGUUUACUAUCGAUAAUCUCUCUCUUAGCCAGAACCCUUCAGAUGUCAAAUCCAAAUUAACUGUAUUCUAUUUUUGGAUAACAGAAAGGAGAAAACCCUAAAAUUACUUAAAACCCAGAUUUAUAAAUGGUUCUAAGUUGCCAAACUCAAUAUUCACUAUCAAAAUUGUUUCUUUUAGAUCAACAUGUUCAAAUAAGAAGUCUAAAGCAAUCUUGUUUGAUUGUUUCAUUGGAAACUUUUCCAGAAAUUAUAAGGAACCAAGAUAGACAGAACUGUCACUAAUCAGCC